rnacentral:rRNA from 1 species
CUGGCCGUAAACGAUGGGUACUAGGUGUAGGAGGUAUCGACCCCUUCUGUGCCGCAGUUAACGCAAUAAGUACCCCGCCUGGGGAGUACGACCGCAAGGUUGAAACUCAAAGGAAUUGACGGGGGCCCGCACAAGCGGUGGAGUAUGUGGUUUAAUUCGACGCAACGCGAAGAACCUUACCAGGUCUUGACAUUGAUGGACAGAACUAGAGAUAGUUCCUCUUCUUCGGAAGCCAGAAAACAGGUGG